ACCUGCGAACCAGCGCGGGUUAUUACUUCAUUCUGGAUCACACCGCCGAGAAGAUACAAUCGUUAUCGUUUGCGCUUUACGAAGAACAUUCUGAAUAUUUUUCCGAUAAAUCACAAUUUCAAAAUGGGAAUGCACCGCGCGACGAUUUCGCCGAUUCAAUUGCCGUUCAAUCAAAACCGACACGUGCGCCACAUUAAACGCGAUCAAUUCUCUCGCGAGGAAAUCGAACAGCGCGAUGGACGGCCAAAUAAAUUCCUCCACUAUCUCGCGCGAACACCUGUCGAUGCGCGAGGGGAAAAAAAAUUGUAAUAUUUGGCAGUCGCUAUUAUCGAAGGAAAACGCAUAUCUCGCUAUUUAGAAAUUCUCGCUUAUAUGGAGAGCGUCGGCAAUCAAAUAGUUGCGAUUGGAAAAUAACUGGGAAAUUUUAUUGGCACUGGCUUCCAUCGGUUUCGACCGUCGCAAGAAUCUUUACCUACUCGAUACGAUGGAAUUCGACACCGUUAUCAACGAAUUGCGCAAUUUCAAAAAAGAAACUUUACACUGUUCAAAGAAAACAAAUAUUCUCGACUGGUAGAUUUGACUGAGUCUACGGAUCAGAAUCUGGAAAAUAAGUCACUUAACACUACAGAUGAAACUGUUGAUGAUCAUCGGAAUGAUAAAAAUUCGUCGUCUUCAAGGAAAGAUCACAAUUUAAAAUCAUCAGAUGAUGAUAGUAAAUAUGCGCUCGAUACGGAUGCAGAAGUUCCUGAAACUACUUGAAAUGUAGAAUUCUUCUUUUUUCUUAUCUCACGAAGUAAAAAGUUCCACUAACAAUACAUAAGCACAAAUUUGUUUUUCUUUGGCACUUUAUUGAUGUAAAUAUAACAACUUAUAUGAAAUGGUAUGUACAGAAUCUUAUAAUAAUAUGGCGUAUCAAGUGAUAAAUAUAAACAACCAUCCUCCUGUGAAAAAGAACAAUAUAUGUCACAUAUGAAUAUCUAGAAAUUUUAUUAGAAGUAUCAUUUCCUAUUAAAUAGAUUUUUUAUUAUUGUACGAGAAAUAUAGGCACUUUAUGGACGUUGAACAAGUAUGAGAUCAAUUAGAGAAUUACACCAUAUAAAUUUUGUAUCUUUUAUGUAAAAACAUAUAAAAUUCAAGAAGAGAUACUAGAGCGAGUAAUUUUUUUCAUAUAAAUUGAGACAUUAUCUGCAAUUGAGUCUGUGUUCAAGUUUUGUACAAAUUAACUAAGACGUCCCUGUUGAACAAUAAAAAGAAAUACGUGAGAAAUUUUAACACAAUUAACACACAAUAAUAAUUAUAAUUAUUCUAAUGAGGUUCCGUAGGCUGCUAACAAUAUAUUAUAGCAAUUAAAUGAUAGUAAUAUUAAUGAAUAAUUAUUAAUAUUAUAAUAAAUUAAAACAGUUAAUAUUAACUAUAAUAAUGUAUACAAUAUUUUCGGAUACUAUACUUCCUGGUGUAUUAUCAUACGCGGAUUCCAAACCGACACUCUCAUCCAAGAAAUAUUGUAUAUGAAAUGCCACUUGGUGUGUAGAAUUUUACAAACUUAAAUUACACAUAAUAACGAUGAUGUUAACUGUCCUCUACAUUCUGUUUCUAGAUAUGCUAAAUCUAUUAUCAAAAAUCAAUCACACAAAUAAAUAUUAUUGAUAAAAAAAAGAUAUUUUUAGUUCUAUCUUAAAAAUAUAAAUAUUUCUGAUUGUUUAUAUGUAAACAAAUUUUUUAUUUCUAGAGCAAGAGCGUAAUAUGCAAAAGUAUUAAUAUUUGUCGCGAUAUAUAUAUAUAUAUAUAUAUAUAUAAAAAUCUGAAUAGAAAUACAAA